rnacentral:lncRNA from 1 species
UUCCUCCAAUUCAUCUUGCAUGUCGAGGCCUUCAAUAGGUAGGGAAUCCAUAGGGCCCUUUCCUUGCAAGGUUGCCAUGUAACAUUGCCUCGCCAACACUUGGUCUCUUAAUUUGUACUUCACCAAUCUAUUUUUAGUUGGAAACCUCAUCAGUAGGUGAUAUGUCAAUAUGAUAACCCAGAGUACAUUAAGUCCUGAU